UCCAGGGUAAUUCAAGAGUGCAGUAACUAUUGUCAAACACAGAAGACAUUGCAGUGUAAGUCUGAUUUAAAGCAGCUAUUUGGAACUCAAUUAUUAAUGGCAUUAACAUCCUGUAAGUCAGCAACACGCACAGCUACAGGUAAGAGCACUGAAAGAAAAUCAUAUUAGCAUGAUUUUUUCCCCUCCUGGGCAAUAGGCCCUAGAUUCCAUUAGUCACUUAGUGCUACAACAUCAAUGAAAUUAAAAUAUUGCUUGCAAUCAGGCUGGAGAUCAGCACAGGCUGGGAUAUUUCAGCAGUAGUAACAAGCCCAGAAACAUUCAGCUGUGUUUGCCUCUGAGCUAGUUCACUCUUUUGGGGGAAUAAGAUGUUAAUGGGGAGCAGCCCUGGGUAGAGGGACACCAUCAGCUCCCGUUGAAGAAAGCCUUUGAUGGUGGGAACUUUGGACAAAGCCAGAAACUGCACGUGAUGAAGUGGCAGCUGCCUUCAGAGCACUCCUCCUGCAUGUCCUGGCCUCAGGUCUUUUAUGCCACAUUUUCCAGGGAGAAAGGCAACAUGUUCCUACCCUUUCGCUUCGAGAGCGAGCAGAGCUUCAGACCAACCAGCACUUAGGCAUAUGCUUAACUGAAAGCACACCAGUACUCCACCAAAGGUAUUUACAAGACUUGCAACACGGAUGUGUUUAAAUUACUGGCAAGAAGGGAGCCCAGCACUGUGCAUCUUUGGGACUGGGCUGAUGUGAUCAGGGCACUGCCGGUCCUGUAAUAAGACAAAGUAAAGGGAGAAGGAGAAAC
rnacentral:lncRNA from 1 species